GGCUGGCCCGAAAGUCCUGAGUUAUCUCAAUUGAUUGUUCACGGUCAGUUACAAAUGGAGCUCCUUGCUCUACUCUUUCUCCAUUUCUCACUACUGCAUUUGACUUUUUUUUU
rnacentral:Y_RNA from 1 species